rnacentral:lncRNA from 1 species
GAAAAGUCAGAUGGAACUUAGAAUUAAAGAUCUGGAAUUCAAACUCUACAAAGCAAGAACUUCACAAGCGGACUGUAAUACAACAGAAUUGGAAAAAUAUAAGGAGCUGUAUCUAGAAGAAUUAAAACUUAGAGAAUCUUUGUCAGAUGAACUAAACAAGAAGACAAGAAUGGAGGACACUUUCUGGAACUCCAGGCUUGACAACAUCUCUCGGUGUUGUGACUCGCAUCCUGUUGUGAGACGCCGUCAGACUUCAAAUGGUCUUGUGACAAGGAUAUCAACCUCUUUCCUGCCCUUGAGGACAACCAAGUUUCUGUAUGUCUCCUCUGGACACUGUGGGUCAAACCUUUUGAGAGACAACAACAACCUCUGAAACCCUCUUGCCAUGACAGCAAGCAAGGAGGAGGGACCAGAAGACCCUCGACGCCCCUUUUCAGCAGGAAGUAGCUACAGAAGAAUGACCUCCACCCUAUUUCCCAAAAGAUUUCUGGGUCCCAACUCCUUAAGGAAUAAACGUGAAAGGGGGCAGUUAGUCAGAUAUUAGCAGGCAGGAGGGGAGGUACCCAUGUUGGAAGGAACAGCCCAGACCACCUCUUAAGAUGCCCAGUACUCACUUUAUGGUCAAACUCAAAAUGUGGCUAACUAGAUCCUGAUAAGG